rnacentral:rRNA from 1 species
GAUGAACGCUGGCGGCGUGCUUAACACAUGCAAGUCGAACGGAGACAUAUUUUGAAGUUUUCGGAUGGAAAGAUAUGUUCUUAGUGGCGGACGGGUGAGUAAUGUAUGAGCAACCUACCUUUAAGAGGGGGACAACAGUUGGAAACGACUGCUAAUACCGCAUAAUGCGAAUUUGUCGCAUGACAGAUUUGUCAAAGGAGCAAUCCGCUUAAAGAUGGGCUCAUAUCUGAUUAGUUAGUUGGUAAGGUAACGGCCUACCAAGACGAUGAUCAGUAGCCGGACUGAGAGGUUGAACGGCCACAUUGGGACUGAGAUACGGCCCAG